UGGGGAAUAUUGGACAAUGGGCGAAAGCCUGAUCCAGCCAUGCCGCGUGUGUGAAGAAGGUCUUCGGAUUGUAAAGCACUUUAAGUUGGGAGGAAGGGCAGUAAGCGAAUACCUUGCUGUUUUGACGUUACCGACAGAAUAAGCACCGGCUAACUCUGUGCCAGCAGCCGCGGUAAUACAGAGGGUGCAAGCGUUAAUCGGAAUUACUGGGCGUAAAGCGCGCGUAGGUGGUUCGUUAAGUUGAAUGUGAAAGCCCCGGGCUCAACCUGGGAACUGCAUCCAAAAAUUGCGAGCUUGAGUAGGGCAGAGGGUGGUGGAAUUUCCUGUGUAGCGGUGAAAUGCGUAGAUAUAGGAAGGAACACCAGUGGCGAAGGCGACCACCUGGGAUCAUACUGACACUGAGGGGCGAAAGCGUGGGGAGCAAACAGG
rnacentral:rRNA from 1 species